rnacentral:rRNA from 1 species
UACGUAGGGUGCGAGCGUUAAUCGGAAUUACUGGGCGUAAAGCGUGCGCAGGCGGUUUUGCAAGUCAGAUGUGAAAGCCCCGGGCUCAACCUGGGAAUUGCAUUUGAAACUACAAGGCUAGAGUGUGUCAGAGGGGGGUAGAAUUCCACGUGUAGCAGUGAAAUGCGUAGAGAUGUGGAGGAAUACCGAUGGCGAAGGCAGCCCCCUGGGAUAACACUGACGCUCAUGCACGAAAGCGUGGGGAGCAAACGGG